rnacentral:rRNA from 1 species
GACGAACGCUGGCGGUGUGCUUAUACAUGCAGUCGAACGAUGAGGUCUCUUCGGAGAUACAUCAGUGGCGGACGGGUGAGUAACACGUAGGUAUCUGCCUCAAGGAGGGGGAUAACAUCGGGAAACCGGUGCUAAUACCCCAUAUGUCCUCCGGGAUGAAAGCUCCGGCGCCUUGAGAUGAGCCUGCGGCUGAUUAGCUUGUUGGUGGGGUAAAGGCCUACCAAGGCAAUGAUCAGUAGCUGGUUUGAGAGGAUGAUCAGCCACAAUGGAACUGAGACACGGUCCAUACUCCUACGGGAGGCAGCAGUAGGGAAUUUUGCGCAAUGGGCGAAAGCCUGACGCAGCAACACCGCGUGUGGGAUGAAGCUUUUCGGAGUGUAAACCACUGUCAGAGGGGACGAAUCAAUGACGGUACCCUCAGAGGAAGCACCGGCUAACUCCGUGCCAGCAGCCGCGGUAAUACGGAGGGUGCAAGCGUUGUCCGGAAUUAUUGGGCGUAAAACGUUCGUAGGCGGCAUGUCAAGUCUGAUGUUAAAGCCCGGAGCUCAACUCCGGUUCAGCAUUGGAUACUGGCAAGCUAGAGUGCAGGAGAGGCAAGGGGAAUUCCUAGUGUAGCGGUGAAAUGCGUAGAUAUUAGGAGGAACACCAGUUGCGUAAGCGCCUUGCUGGACUGUAACUGACGCUGAGGGACGAAAGCCAGGGUAGCGAAUGGGAUUAGAUACCCCAGUAGUCCUGGCCGUAAACGAUGGAUACUAGGUGUCGCGGGUAUCGACCCCUGCGGUGCUGCAGCUAACGCAAUAAGUAUCCCGCCUGGGGAGUACGCACGCAAGUGUGAAACUCAAAGGAAUUGACGGGGACCCGCACAAGCGGUGGAACAUGUGGUUUAAUUCGAAGCAACGCGAAGAACCUUACCAGGGCUUGACAUCCUGAGAAUCCUGUAGAGAUACGGGAGUGCCUUCGGGAACUCAGUGACAGGUGGUGCACGGUUGUCGUCAGCUCGUGUCGUGAGAUGUUGGGUUAAGUCCCGCAACGAGCGCAACCCUCGUUGUUAGUUGCCUGCAGGAGCCUGCUCCUGUAGUGCUCUCUAGCGAGACUGCCGGUGAUAAACCGGAGGAAGGUGGGGACGACGUCAAAUCAUCAUGCCCCUUAUGUCCUGGGCUACACACGUGUUACAAUGGGUGGGACAGCGAGCAGCCAAUCAGCAAUGAUGAGCAAAUCUCUUAAACCCACUCCCAGUUCGGAUCGCAGUCUGCAACUCGACUGCGUGAAGUAGGAAUCGCUAGUAACCGUAGAUCAGCACGCUGCGGUGAAUACGUUCCCGGGUCUUGUACACACUGCCCGUCACACCAUGGAAGCUGACCACGCCCGAAGUCGGUGUGCUACUCUUGAGAGCACCGCCUAAGGCAGGGUUGGUGACUGGGGUGAAGUCG